rnacentral:rRNA from 1 species
UACGUAGGGAGCAAGCGUUGUCCGGAAUCAUUGGGCGUAAAGCGUGCGUAGGUGGCUUCGUAAGUCCGUUGUGAAAGUCAAAGGCUCAACCUUUGAAAGCCGAUGGAUACUGCGGAGCUAGAGUACGGAAGAGGCGAGUGGAAUUCCUGGUGUAGCGGUGGAAUGCGCAGAUAUCAGGAGGAACACCAAUAGCGAAGGCAGCUCGCUGGGACGUUACUGACACUGAGGCGCGAAAGCGUGGGGAGCGAACAGG